rnacentral:rRNA from 1 species
GGGGGGGGGGGGGGGGGGGGGGGGGGGGGGGGGGUGGGGGGGGGGCGGGGGGGGGGGGGGGGGUGGGGGGGGGCGGGUGGGGGCGGGGGGAGGGGGACGGCGGAGGGUGCGUUUUCGGGGGGGCUGGCGGGGGGAAACUUACGGUGGUGGCGCAUGCGCCCUCCGGGGGGAGGCCGGGGAUCUUCGGAGCUUGCGCGGUUGCAUGAUCGUGUGUCGGAUUAGCUAGUUGGCGGGGUAAGUGCCCACCAAGGCGACGAGACGUAGCUGGUCUGAGAGGAUGAUCAGCCACACUGGAACUGAGACACGGUCCAGACUCCUACGGGAGGCAGCAGUGGGGAAUAUUGGACAAUGGGCGCAAGCCUGAUCCAGCCAUACCGCGUGGGUGAAGAAGGCCUUCGGGUUGUAAAGCCCUUUUGUUGGGAAAGAAAAGCAGCAGGUUAAUACCCCGCUGUUCUGACGGUACCCAAAGAAUAAGCACCGGCUAACUUCGUG